GAUGAACGCUGGCGGCGUGCCUAAUACAUGCCAGUCGAGCGAACGGACGAGAAGCUUGCUUCUCUGAUGUUAGCGGCGGACGGGUGAGUAACACGUGGAUAACCUACCUAUAAGACUGGGAUAACUUCGGGAAACCGUAGCUAAUACCGGAUAAUAUUUUGAACCGCAUGGUUCAAAAGUGAAAGACGGUCUUGCUGUCACUUAUAGAUGGAUCCGCGCUGCAUUAGCUAGUUGGUAAGGUAACGGCUUACCAAGGCAACGAUGCAUAGCCGACCUGAGAGGGUGAUCGGCCACACUGGAACUGAGACACGGUCCAGACUCCUACGGGAGGCAGCAGUAGGGAAUCUUCCGCAAUGGGCGAAAGCCUGACGGAGCAACGCCGCGUGAGUGAUGAAGGUCUUCGGAUCGUAAUACUCUGUUAUUAGGGAAGAACAUAUGUGUAAGUAACUGUGCACAUCUUGACGGUACCUAAUCAGAAAGCCACGGCUAACUACGUG
rnacentral:rRNA from 1 species